rnacentral:lncRNA from 1 species
UUAUACCGAGUUAUACUGAGUUAUACUAUGUCAUGUCAAGUUAUACUAAGUUAUACUCAGUCAUGCCGAGUUAUACUAAAUUAUACUCAGUCAUACCGAGUUACACAUGAAUUAUACUGCGUAAUACUAUGUACUACGGAGUUAGUUGUACCGAGUUCGACUGAGUUAAUAACACCGAGUUAAACUGAAUCUAAAUCUGAAGAUGAAAUAAAUACAACCACGAAAAAUACUGUAAAAGAAGGAGAAUAAGAACUAUAAGAACCCUAAAUCAUAGAAAACCUAAAAUCUUAUUCAAAACACUAAAUCAAAAUCAUCAAGAACAAAAAUAAACUCUAGAUCGAAACAAACACACAGUAUUUCUCAUAAAACGAAACCCUAAUCUGAAAUCACAGAUCCAUGACUAUAAACGUAAAUAGACUUCGAGCUUUUUUUUUCCUUCAAUUCCUUCAUCUUCUUCGCCGUUUUCUUCAAUUCCUUCAUCAAAUUGAGUGGCUAUGGAUAAGUUUCACGAAGGAUUGAAGAAGAAAAAAGAAACAGAAGAACAGUUUGUAGAUAGAAAGGAGUCGGGAAAAGAGAGAGAUGCCGCUGCAGAGAAAGAGAAAGAAAAGAAGAGAAUAAGAAAAUCAGAGUCGAUUGUUGUAUAUAGUAGGGUUAAGGGCAUUAAGGUAAUUAGCUUAAUUUUUUGCAAUAAAAAAAUUCAAAAAUAAAAUAAUUUUUAAAUGGGUCCUUUAAAGAUUACACGAUGAGAUGUAGGAGUAGGGAAGGUGUUCCCUCGUCUUUGGAAGAUUGGCUCAUGAGAUAUGGGGAUAAUAGAGGAGAUGUUUCUCCGG